GGGGGCGGGGCCGCUCGGGGGCGUGUCCGGGGGCGUGGCCAGGCGGGGACGGUGACGCAGUGGGCGGGGCAGGGCGGGGCGGCAGCAGCGGCAGCGGCGGCUUCCAGCGACUUCGGCGGGCGGUCACUGCUGGGUGUUUGAAGAACUGUGAUGCUCAACGGAGACACACUUCCACAUCAGCAGUGACACCUCCUCCAGCUUUAGGGAAAACAGCCCAUCCUCACCAGAGCCCCCUCAGCAUGCCCAGCCAGCCCAGACAUUCCCUGGACCCUCCCUGUACUGGCUUGGGCUCUCCCCUGGGACAAAUCCUCAAGGAUCGUUUUGUCCCCUUUUGAACAGCCUGGACGCUGCAGCCCCUUGGAAACGCAUCAGGGAGGUGACACACGGAACCAGGAGAGGUGACACACAGGACCCAGCAGAGGUGACCCACGGGACCCAGCAGAGGUGACACACAGGACUCAGCAGAGGUGGCACACAGGACCCAGCAGAGGUGGCACACAGGACCCAGAGAGGUGACCCACGGAACCCAGCAGAGGUGGCAGCAGGAGCCAGCAGUGACGAACAGCGAGCGGGGCACUGGUGACUGCGAGGACCCUGUUGGUGCCCAGGACAUCCCUGCACCUUGCUGGAGCGAUGCCAGCUGCUGCUUAGCCUGCAGGAGGAAGGGAUGGGGAGUCCCCCUCCUUG
rnacentral:lncRNA from 1 species